GAAGGAUCUCUUCCUGGAGAUCACUUCUUGGGGAGAAUGUUGUAACCCUAUGAUAUUGGUUGGCUGUUCACAUCUAGGUACCCACUACAGCCUAUUGUAAAAAGUACACUGUCAAGUCUUUGCAGCCCUGAACCAACCUGUAUUUGAAGAUCUGAGACAAUGUCCUCCUCACUUGAAUAAAUUUUUCUGCUCUCCCUAUAUCCUACUGAACUAGAUUCUUUUAUUAGGCACACAAGCAGCUCUGACCCAUCAUUUUCAGUGCUUCCCUGACAUUCUUGGUUAAAUUUUUGACUUAGUAUUGUUAUACAAGCACUGUCACUGCUUUAAUAUGAAGGAUAUAAAAUAAUUAUUGCACUGUUUAUGUCAACUACAUACAAAUCAUUUUAAGGUGGUCUUUGUAUAUUCAUUUUUUUUAUUUUCUUGACCAAGAAGACUAUUUUAAAUAUUCAAAUACUCCUGCAUCUUGAGUUCUUUCAUCCUUCGUGAUCCCAUAUUGGACUCGGCAUCAUUCUCAAUUAAUUACCUGGAAAUACAAUAAAUGAAAAAAGCAUCUGAAGAUGGAAAACUGGGAACAAAUCAUGGGAUUGUAGAUUCA